UGGGGAAUUUUGGACAAUGGGCGAAAGCCUGAUCCAGCAAUGCCGCGUGAGUGAAGAAGGCCUUCGGGUUGUAAAGCUCUUUUGUCAGGGAAGAAACGGUUUGGGCUAAUAUCCUGAGCUAAUGACGGUACCUGAAGAAUAAGCACCGGCUAACUACGUGCCAGCAGCCGCGGUAAUACGUAGGGUGCAAGCGUUAAUCGGAAUUACUGGGCGUAAAGCGUGCGCAGGCGGUUUUGUAAGUCUGACGUGAAAUCCCCGGGCUCAACCUGGGAAUUGCGUUGGAGACUGCAAGGCUAGAAUCUGGCAGAGGGGGGUAGAAUUCCACGUGUAGCAGUGAAAUGCGUAGAGAUGUGGAGGAACACCGAUGGCGAAGGCAGCCCCCUGGGUCAAGAUUGACGCUCAUGCACGAAAGCGUGGGGAGCAAACAGG
rnacentral:rRNA from 1 species